GAACGUAGAGGAAUGGAGCCAGGACGC
rnacentral:sRNA from 1 species